AUGGAGGGCCUCGCCGCCUCGCCGCCCGACCAGAAAUAUUGGGAGGCUGGUGGGAACUGCAACUUGGCAUUCGCUGCAGCUAGGCUGGGGCUUCGCUGCUCCACACUGGGGCAUGUUGGAGAGGAGGUUUAUGGAAAGUUUCUUCUUGAUGUGCUCGAGGCAGAAGGAAUUAGUGUUGUCGGGAUGCUUGAAAAUGCUGAUGUUACUGCAUGUCGACAUGCCUAUGAGACGCUUCUAUGCUGGGUUCUUGUAGAUCCAUUCCAGAGGCAUGGAUUCUGCAGCCGUGCAGACUUUAGUAAAGAGCCAGCUUUCAGUUGGAUACGUAAACUUCCAGCAGAAACCAAGAUAGCCAUUCAUCACUCUAAAAUAUUGUUUAGCAAUGGAUAUGCUUUUGAUGAAUUUUCCCCUGAUGUGAUCGCAUCUGCUAUUGAUUGUGCGAUUGAUGCGGGAACAUCAGUAUUCUUUGAUCCUGGGCCUCGUGGAAGGUCUCUCUUACAUGGGAACCUGGAUGAACAGAGAGCGCUUGAGCACGCUCUGAGGCUCAGCGAUGUUCUCCUUUUGACGGCAGAUGAGGCUGAGUCCCUAACCAACAUCGGAAACCCAAUUCAGGCAGGGCAAGAAUUGCUAAGAAGAGGAACCCGGACAAAAUGGGUUGUCAUCAAAAUGGGUUCUAAGGGAUCAAUCCUGAUCACCGAAAGCGCUGUUUCAUGUGCACCUUCUUUUAAGAUCCGCGUUGUGGACACGGUUGGAUGCGGAGAUAGCUUCACUGCUGCUAUAGCUUUCGGGUUCCUCCACGGCUUGUCGGCGAUUAGCACACUAGUACUAGCAAAUGCAGUCGGUGCUGCGACCGCCACUGGAUGUGGAGCAGGCAGGAAUGUCGCUCACCUAGAUAAAGUACUGAAUCUCUUGAGAGAAUCCGAUCUCAACGAGGAAGGAAAAACAUGGACUGAGUUGGUUGAAGGAUGCUCAGUCUGUCCUGAAGUUUCAGUCCUGUCCAAGACGCCAGUCAAUGGUUCCAGUGAGCGCUUUGUGAAUGUUGUCCCUGUUAGCGGUGUGGUUUCCGACCUUUUGUCGAUGCUAGAGGUGGCACCGGAGCGAAGCACCGUCCAGGCUUGA
rnacentral:rRNA from 1 species